rnacentral:rRNA from 1 species
CCCUUAGAUGUUCUGGGCUGCACGCGCGCUACACUGAUGCACUCAACGAGUUUACAACCUUAUCCGGAAGGAUUGGGUAAUCUUUUGAACGUGCAUCGUGAUGGGGAUAGAUUAUUGCAAUUAUUAAUCUUCAACGAGGAAUUCCUAGUAAGCGCAAGUCAUCAGCUUGCGCUGAUUACGUCCCUGCCCUUUGUACACACCGCCCGUCGCACCUACCGAUUGAAUGGUCCGGUGAAGCCUCGGGAUUGCGAAUGCUUCGUGCGGACGCGAGAACUUGGCUAAACCUUACCAUUUAGAGGAAGGUGAAGUCGUAACA